rnacentral:rRNA from 1 species
AACGAACGCUGGCGGCAGGCCUAACACAUGCAAGUCGAGCGAACCCUUCGGGGUUAGCGGCGGACGGGUUAGUAACGCGUGGGAAUAUACCCUUUGGUACGGAAUAGCCUCGGGGAAACUGAGAGUAAUACCGUAUGUGCCCCUCGGGGGAAAGAUUUAUCGCCAAAGGAUUAGCCCGCGUUGGAUUAGAUAGUUGGUGGGGUAAUGGCCUACCAAGUCUACGAUCCAUAGCUGGUUUGAGAGGAUGAUCAGCAACACUGGGACUGAGACACGGCCCAGACUCCUACGGGAGGCAGCAGUGGGGAAUCUUAGACAAUGGGCGCAAGCCUGAUCUAGCCAUGCCGCGUGGACGAUGAAGGCCUUAGGGUUGUAAAGUCCUUUCAGAUGGGAAGAUAAUGACGGUACCAUCAGAAGAAGCCCCGGNUAACUCCGUG